rnacentral:tRNA from 1 species
AUUUUUAUAGUGUAAGUUAACAUUUUACUUUUUCAUGGUAAAGCUGAAAUAUUAAUUUCUAAAAAUU